GGUAGAAGCUUUAUUAUGAUAUGUCUUAAGGAACAAUUAAAUCAGUAGGCAUUGAUUGAACACCUACUGUGCACAAGCCCCUGCACACAGUAGGGUCCAAUGGACCCGUGGAGUCCAAUGUCCCACCCAUGGCUCUCAGGUUCCCAGGGAGGAAAAUCACAUGAGGGUCAGGGAGUUUUAUGGGGCUGAGAACAGGGUGGGUUCCUGAAUAUCCAAGUGCAGUUAGCUUUAUGAAGGCAAACUUUGCCCCCCCCUGCAGGAGGCAGAGACAGCAGGGAGCAGCAGGCCCGGCUCUCUCGGGCUGGGCAGCAGCCGGUCUGGGUGUUGCUGGAGCCCUGGGAUCGCUGGCUGCCACCCCCGCAGCAGCUGCAGCAGGUCCUGCGCUGCCGGCGGCGCCUCCUGGGGAAGCAGCAGCAGCUGGUGCUGGAGCCGCAGCAACCUGAGUCGCCGCAGCAACCUGAGUCGCCGCAGCAGCCCGAGUCACCGCCGCAGCAGCCCGAGUCACCGCCGCAGCAGCCGGAGUCGCCGCAGGAGCCGCAGCAGGAGGACGAGGCGGCGGGUGCAGGGGCGGGACACGGAGUGGGGCCCUGAGAAGACCCCUUGGAAAAGCCUCUGGAGGCCCCUGCGCUCUGCUGGGAGGACAUCUCGGAGGUCGUCACGGCGAACCUGGAAGAAAAGCAGCUUUUCACACGGGAGCAGACUUUUCUUUCCAACAAUGAACUCAGGGCUUUUGAGAUUUGGCCUUGUGAGCAAGUGAGCCUGGCCUGGUGCCAGGGAAAGGAAGCACCAAGAAAGAAGGAACGCAAAGGAAGAAACCCCAAACCAGUGUUUGCAGUGAGUUAAACAUGCAUAGAGCAGGAAACGGUCUAUGCAAGGAAUCAAUUGUCUUCUACUUUCUCUGACUAGAAUAAGGACCACCCAGGUUCUCCACAAUGGAAAAUAAAGACAACGUUGUGGCAAUUUAUCUGUAUGAUCCAGUCAGUCCAAAAUCUUUGCUUGGCUCUUUUCCCCUUCCCCAUUUCACUGCGACCUCACAAUCUUCAAGUGAUAUUCACAUAGUUAGCACUGUAUUGGUGGCCUAGUGGUUAAGGUUAGAUGCUCUAGCUGAGGGGCCCAGGUUGGUUUCCUGGUGAGGGAACCAUGUCACCCAUCUGUCAGUUAUACUGUAGCAGCUGCAUGUUGCUGUGAUGCUGAAAGCUAUGCCACCAAUAUGUCAAACACUAACAGGGUCACCCAUGGUGGACAGGUUUCAGCGGAGCUUCCAGACUAAGACAAAUUAGGAAGAAGGACCUGGUUGCCCACUUCUGAAAAAAUCGGCCAUGAAAACCCUAUGAAUAGCCACGGAGCAUUGGCUGAUACUGCGCUGGCAAGUGAGAGGCUUCGCCAUCAGUUAGAGAAGAGCCAAAUCACAGAUGCAUCCUUGCUGCCUGGAUCUAAAGAAUUCACAAAGCGCUGGUCGUUUUUUCCUGCCUCUGCCUCUCAUUCACCACAGCCACAAGGAAAAGGAGAGUGAUCCAG
rnacentral:lncRNA from 1 species